CACUUGGGGGAGCUGCUCAACCCCCUGCCUGGUGCAGGGCUCAGUGGGGGUUGUUUACCCCGUGAGGCCCCAGUGCGCAGGCGCCAGCGAGGGGCUCCCAGCGUGCACUGGGCUCGAGCGCGGUCCCCCGGACUGACGGCCAGCCGACCCUGCGGACAGACGGGCCACAAAGCAUGUCGCCCUGCGCCUGCUGAACCGCGAGCGCCCGAGGAUGUCAGCGCUGAGGAAGGUGCGAGCCGCGGGGACCGAGCUGCCGGGGCGACCGGUCGCGGGCUGCGCGGCGGCCUCGUCCCUCGCGGCGCCUGGGUGCCUCGCCGGCGGUGCUUCCCGGACCCUGCACUCCCGGGGCGUGGGUGCGGCGCGGACUGUGCCGGGCAGACGGGCGGGCUGGAGGAGCUGCGGGGCCUGAGGAGGGGGCGGCGUCCGGCUCCCGCGCGGCAGCGGCGAGGGCCCAGGGGCCCAGGCGGAAGCGGCUCGUGUUUAGGGCAGCGCGAGCGGCGGACAGACGGUCCCUGGACAGCUCGAGAGCCUCCGUCCUCGUCGCACGAGGCAGCAAGUGCCGGGUCUGUCCUCCGGAUGCGGGGCACCGCCCCUGGGGGGACGCGCGCUACCUUCCUGUCGCCCUGGCACCGGCCGCGCAGGCGCGCUGGGACCGUGGGGCUGCGGGCGAGCUGCACUUGCUGCAGGCUACCGCCGCCUCCAGCGCCAGGGGACCCGCGCCACAGGUGGCAUCCGGGGCGGGGCCUGCGCGCCGGCAGGGGCGGGGGAGCGGUGGGGCGGAAGGAUCCCCGGACGACGGGGCGCGGCGCUCCCCGCGCUCGCCUGGUCCUUCCCCAGGUGCCUCCCCCCGCCGGCCGGCCCCCAGCGCGCCAGGCCUCCGGGGCGCCCAGUGCGCAGGUGCCGGCGGGGGUCUCCGAGCGUGUGCGGGGCUGGAGCGCGGUGGGACGCGCGGCGGCGGCGGCGGCGGCCCCGCGGAUUGUCGGCUGGCGGUGCGGAUGGACGGACGGGCCACAACGCAUGUCGCCCUUCGCCUGCUGA
rnacentral:lncRNA from 12 species